rnacentral:rRNA from 1 species
CAGGCUUAACACAUGCAAGUCGAGGGGCAGCAUGGUCUUAGCUUGCUAAGGCCGAUGGCGACCGGCGCACGGGUGAGUAACACGUAUCCAACCUGCCGUCUACUCUUGGACAGCCUUCUGAAAGGAAGAUUAAUACAAGAUGGCAUCAUGAGUCCGCAUGUUCACAUGAUUAAAGGUAUUCCGGUAGACGAUGGGGAUGCGUUCCAUUAGAUAGUAGGCGGGGUAACGGCCCACCUAGUCUUCGAUGGAUAGGGGUUCUGAGAGGAAGGUCCCCCACAUUGGAACUGAGACACGGUCCAAACUCCUACGGGAGGCAGCAGUGAGGAAUAUUGGUCAAUGGGCGAGAGCCUGAACCAGCCAAGUAGCGUGAAGGAUGACUGCCCUAUGGGUUGUAAACUUCUUUUAUAAAGGAAUAAAGUCGGGUAUGGAUACCCGUUUGCAUGUACUUUAUGAAUAAGGAUCGGCUAACUCCGUGCCAGCAGCCGCGGUAAUACGGAGGAUCCGAGCGUUAUCCGGAUUUAUUGGGUUUAAAGGGAGCGUAGAUGGAUGUUUAAGUCAGUUGUGAAAGUUUGCGGCUCAACCGUAAAAUUGCAGUUGAUACUGGAUAUCUUGAGUGCAGUUGAGGCAGGCGGAAUUCGUGGUGUAGCGGUGAAAUGCUUAGAUAUCACGAAGAACUCCGAUUGCGAAGGCAGCCUGCUAAGCUGCAACUGACAUUGAGGCUCGAAAGUGUGGGUAUCAAACAGGAUUAGAUACCCUGGUAGUCCACACGGUAAACGAUGAAUACUCGCUGUUUGCGAUAUACUGCAAGCGGCCAAGCGAAAGCGUUAAGUAUUCCACCUGGGGAGUACGCCGGCAACGGUGAAACUCAAAGGAAUUGACGGGGGCCCGCACAAGCGGAGGAACAUGUGGUUUAAUUCGAUGAUACGCGAGGAACCUUACCCGGGCUUAAAUUGCAGAUGAAUUACGGUGAAAGCCGUAAGCCGCAAGGCAUCUGUGAAGGUGCUGCAUGGUUGUCGUCAGCUCGUGCCGUGAGGUGUCGGCUUAAGUGCCAUAACGAGCGCAACCCUUGUUGUCAGUUACUAACAGGUUCCGCUGAGGACUCUGACAAGACUGCCACCGUAAGAUGUGAGGAAGGUGGGGAUGACGUCAAAUCAGCACGGCCCUUACGUCCGGGGCUACACACGUGUUACAAUGGGGGGUACAGAGGGCCGCUACCACGCGAGUGGAUGCCAAUCCCCAAAACCUCUCUCAGUUCGGACUGGAGUCUGCAACCCGACUCCACGAAGCUGGAUUCGCUAGUAAUCGCGCAUCAGCCACGGCGCGGUGAAUACGUUCCCGGGCCUUGUACACACCGCCCGUCAAGCCAUGGGAGCCGGGGGUACCUGAAGUGCGUAACCGCGAGGAGCGCCCUAGGGUAAAACUGGUGACUGGGGC